GGAGAAACGGGGUCAGAGUGAUUCCUUCCUUCACAUAUCAGACAUAAGCUUUUUGGCCCUGGGCAAUGUAUGGGGCCUUUAACAGCGGAUACAGGUUAGUUACUAUAUACAUGGUAAAACAGCACUACUUUGUAUCCUAGACUUUCUAGACUUGGUAUAGCUUAUGGAAUACGCUACCAAAAGCCAUACCUCAUCAAUCCCUAUAUCCUAGUUUUGCUUUGCCUAUGCAAUGCCAAACCAAGGGUAUCCCGCUAAAUGAAUUUCCUAAAAAUCCCUCUUCAUCUAAAAUAUAUUUUGCCUAUUUAUAGGAGAUUGGUCAUUAGCAGCUUUGUAGAAAAGAAAUAAAUUGUGUUAUCUGCUUUCAUUCCUUUCAGGUAGCACCUUCCAUUAGUUAAUCAAGAAAUAAAUUAAAGGCCAUGUGUAUUAUCUUCUUCUCCAACCAUCAGCAAAUCAGUGAUUAAUUUUGUAUAAAUUCUGUGAUCAGUUCCACUGGACAUCUUCUCCUUCCAAGUUGGAUCACUCCCAAAUGUAAAAGAUUGCUACUUCUCAGUCUAGUGUUUUUGUCCUGCAUUGUUCCACAUGUAUGAUAUUUUUGAGGAAAUGUUGAGAGAUUUGAAAUCAGGCAACUGUCAUAAUUCUGUAGGAACCCAAGCAUUUCAGAUGGAUUUCAUAAUUUGAAUCUUUGAGUUGCAGUCUUUGAUGAAAAUUGGGAAAUCCUUAGUUAGUAUUGUAACCACAUACAAGUCCCGGUGCUCACUGCCUGAGAAGCCUAUUAAAAGGUAAGGUUAGUGAAGGGAAAGCAGCUUUGUUAAUCAAAUAGCAGUUUGGAAAUGGCCUGGCUCAUGCCUCUAAAACACAAUUUCGAACGAAUUUAAGAAGGGAAACUAAGUACGAGAAGCACACGAGAAUGGUCCGGGAUAUGGGGUCUACAUGUGUUGCUUCAAUAACCAACUUGAGUUAGUGUCCAUCUGAAGUACAGGCUGACACCAUCCCAGCAAUGACUGGGUUGUAGCGUAAUGGGCUUGAAGUGAUCUCCAAAUGGGAGGGAAUUCCUCAGCUGAGUAUCCAGGCCUGGUUCAUUUCAAGAUUAACCCCGGAAAUGUUAAGGCAGCAAAUAAUUAGAUAACCAAAUGCACUGCCAGGAAGGGAGGGGAAGGAUUCUGAAGCACAUCUCAAAGCUAAGACUAGAG
rnacentral:lncRNA from 1 species